rnacentral:rRNA from 1 species
AUAGCGUAUAUUAAAGUUGUUGCAGUUAAAAAGCUCGUAGUUGAACCUUGGGUCUGGCUGGCCGGUCCGCCUCACCGCGUGCACUGGUCCGGCCGGAUCUUUCCUUCUGGCUAGCCGCAUGCCCUUUACUGGGUGUGUCGGGGAACCAGGACUUUUACUUUGAAAAAAUUAGAGUGUUCAAAGCAGGCAUUAGCUCGAAUACAUUAGCAUGGAAUAAUAGAAUAGGACGUGUGGUUCUAUUUUGUUGGUUUCUAGGACCAUCGUAAUGAUUAAUAGGGAUAGUCGGGUGCAUCAGUAUUCAAUCGUCAGAGGUGAAAUUCUUGGAUCGAUUGAAGACUAACUACUG